rnacentral:lncRNA from 1 species
UGCUCUGAAUAAAAGAAUGGACAUUAGUAACCUGAGCCAAAUUUAUCAUGCAUUAAUAUUGCAGAAUUAGUCAUUGUCAGUUUACUGUAAUAUUGUCUCCUAUGGUGUGUUUCUGUAUACAUUUUCACUUAAAUAAAUUCAAUUUAAAAAAAUUUUUUACUUUAACCAUAACUAUUAUUAACUAGAUAUUUAUUGCUGGAAAUAAAUUUUUGAUAAAAUAGUUUAAUGAAAUUUUAAAUUAAUUGGAUUCAUUAAUUCUCAUUACUUACUCAGUUCUAUAAUAUUAUGAACCUUGGACUGUGGAAGUUGAAUUAAAUUUAUACUUGUUUUUGGCUGGCUACCCAGCUAAAACCAAGUCACUUGUAUGGUGAUAUGGAAAGAUCGUCCUCACUAGUUUGUUUUUUCCUCGAACCAUUCCUUGAAAGUUAAAUGGUGUUUACUAACCAUUUGUUGCUUUCUUUAUAAUGUUUCGUACAAACAACAAGUUUUUCUUACCAUAUUAUAUUACAUCUUCAAAUUUACCGCUCAAAUGCAUUAGCGGUUGGUAUUUCGCCUUGUUGUGUCAGUUUUGACUUCAAGGUCACUGUCUUUUACGGGAUGGUUCGUUGUCUUUAGAAAUGCCCAUUUUGCCGAGUGGAUUUGAAUAGUGUAGAAGCUUUUGUGGUAACUUUUAAUACCUUUUUUAUAAAUUUUACUACUAUUAACUUUUAUAAUCAUUUUAAUAAUGUUACCUAAAGUCAAAAUCAAACUAAAUUAAUAUGCUUUUGUUGGAAGGUUGAUCUUGUGAUCUUACUUAGUUUCUCGGCGAAUACAAGUUUUUUACAUAUUUUUUUUAAUCACAUGUAUGAUAACCACAUGCUGCUUUUGCUGUUCAAAGUCUUUGUUAAACUGUAAACUGUACUUUUUAUUGAUUGUUUCUACAACCUAACGAUUCAAUGGUUCAUUGUUUCAAGCUUUUUUUACAAUUUUAUACCUUUGACUGCUACAUGUCUUUUUGAGAUGAACCGAUGAUGCUCUUUGAUUAGAGAGCGAAACGUCUUCGAAUAAAUAGAUGAAGUAGCCACCUUCUUUGUCUUAUUUCUCCACCUAUUGACCGAAAAA